GAUGAAGAACGCAGCGAAAUGCGAUAAGUAGUGUGAAUUGCAGAAUUCAGUGAAUCAUCGAAUCUUUGAACGCACAUUGCGCCCCAUGGUAUUCCGUGGGGCAUGCCUGUUCGAGCGUCAUUUACCCCCUCAAGCUCCGCUUGGUGUUGGGCGUCUGUCCCGCUUCGCGCGCGGACUCGCCCCAAAGGUAUUGGCAGCGGUCGUGCCAGCUUCUAGCGCAGCACAUUGCGCUUCUCGAGGCACCGGUGGGCCCGCGUCCAUCAAGCUCACCCCCCCAGUUUGACCUCGGAUCAGGUAGGGAUACCCGCUGAACUUAAGCAUAUCAAUAAGCGGAGGA
rnacentral:misc_RNA from 1 species